CCUACGGGGGGCAGCAGUGGGGAAUAUUGCACAAUGGGGGAAACCCUGAUGCAGCAACGCCACGUGAGCGAUGAAGGCCUUCGGGUCGUAAAGCUCUGUCCUAAGGGAAGAAUACUGACGGUACCUUAGGAGGAAGCCCCGGCUAACUACGUGCCAGCAGCCGCGGUAAUACGUAGGGGGCUAGCGUUAUCCGGAAUUACUGGGCGUAAAGGGUGCGUAGGCGGCCCUUCAAGUCAGAGGUGACAGGCUACGGUUCAACCGUAGUAAGCCUUUGAAACUGUGGGGCUUGAGGGCAGGAUAGGAGAGUGGCAUUCCCAGUGUAGCGGUGAAAUGCGUAGAUAUUUGGAGGAACACCAGGUGCGAAGGCGGCUCUCUGGACGGUAGCUGACGCUGAGGCACGAAAGCGUGGGGAGCGAACUGGAUUAGAUACCGGAGUAGUC
rnacentral:rRNA from 1 species